UACGCUGAGAAUUUGAUCUUGGUUCAGAUUGAAUGCUGGCGGCGUGGAUAAGGCAUGCAAGUCGAACGAACAGUGUUUACACUGUUAGUGGCGAAAGGGUUAGUAACGCGUGAGUGAUUUACCGAUAACACUGGAAUAACACCUGGAAACGGGUGCUAAUACCAGAUGUGGUGCUUGGAAUAAAGGCCAAGUAUUAAAGAUAGUUUAUACCUUCGGUUAUCGAUAAGCUCGCGUCCUAUUAGCUAGUUGGUAGGGUAAUGGCCUACCAAGGCAAUGAUGGGUAGGUGAACUGAGAGGUUGUUCACCAACAUUGGCACUGAGACAAGGGCCAGACACCUACGGGUGGCAGCAGCCGAGAAUCAUUCGCAAUGGGCGAAAGCCUGACGAUGCGACGCCGCGUGAACGAAGAAGGUCUUCGGAUUGUAAAGUUCUUUUAUGUGGGAACAAAUUGCAUGUAUUAAUAGUGCAUGCACUGAGCUAACCACUUGAAUAAGCACCGGCUAACUACGUGCCAGCAGCUGCGGUAAUACGUAGGGUGCAAGCAUUAAUCGGAUUUACUGGGCGUAAAGAGCGCGUAGGCGGUUUAAUCAGUCAGUUGUUAAAGCCCAGGGCUCACCCCUGGGGUGCAACUGAAACAGUUAGACUUGAGGGUAUACGGGGAAAACGGAAUUCCAUGAGUAGCGGUGAAAUGCGUAGAUACAUGGAAGAACACCGGUGGCGAAAGCGGUUUUCUAGUAUACUCCUGACGCUGAGGCGCGAAAGCAUGGGUAGCAAACAGGAUUAGAUACCCUGGUAGUCCAUGCUGUAAACGAUGUACACUAGGUGUUGUUAUGCUCAACCGUAACAGUGCCGUAGCUAACGCGUUAAGUGUACCGCCUGAAUAGUACGCCCGCAAGGGUGAAACUCAAAAGAAUUGACGGGGACCCGCACAAUCAGUGGAGCAUGGGGUUUAAUUCGAUGAUACGCGAAGAACCUUACCCACUCUUGACAUGUCCAUCGCGACUUUGUGAGAACAAAGUCUUCGGUUCGGCCGGAUGGAACACAGGUGCUGCAUGGCUGUCGUCAGCUCGUGCCGUGAGGUGUUGGGUUAAGUCCCGCAACGAGCGCAACCCUUAUCAUCAGUUGCUAACAGGUUAAGCUGAGGACUCUGGUGAGACUGCCUGGGUUAACCAGGAGGAAGGUGAGGAUGACGUCAAGUCAGCAUGGCCCUUAUGAGUGGGGCUACACCCGUGCUACAAUGGGCAAUACAAUGGGUCGCAAUACCGCGAGGUGGAGCCAAUCCCUAAAGUUGCCCUCAGUUAGGAUUGCAGUCUGAAACUCGACUGCAUGAAUCUGGAAUUGAUAGUAAUGGCGAGUCAGCAACAUCGCCGUGAAUACGUUCCCGGGUCUUGUACACACCGCCCGUCACAUCAUGGAAGUUGAUUCUACCCGAAGUCGUCAUUUAGUUGGUGCCUAAGGUAGGGUUAGUAACUGGGAUGAAGUCGUAACAAGGUAGCCGUACCGGAAGGUGCGGCUGGAUCACCUCCUUU
rnacentral:rRNA from 1 species